GGUGUUAUUACAGAACAAGGCAAAUGUGGAUGAGAAAGAUAAGGAAGGCUGCACACCUCUACAUGAUGCAACCUUGCAAGGACACAGGGAGGUUGUGGAGGUGUUAUUACAGAACAAGGCAAAUGUUUAUGAGAAAGACGAUAAAGAAGAAACUGCUUUACAAAAAGCAGAGGCACAACAUUACGAUGAUAUUGCAAGGAUUAUAACUGAGGCAACAACUUUACAUGACCUGACAACCAACCAUGGUACAAUUUAAGAUAGGGUGACAACCGAUGGCCAGUUUCUUAUGAAAUCAUCGUCAGUUCCACACGGAAGCUAUAACAAUGGCGGUUGGCUUACAUCCACACCACCAACAUCAACGUGUCCCGUGAACCACACAUCAGUAGAAUUGCCAGGGGUUUAUGUUCCGAGUCAACUGGGACAAGCAGUUUCCACAGACAGACAAAGUGUUAUGGAAGAGAUCGCCUUGCAGUCAUCCCAACCAUAUCAUAUAGACGGAAAUCUUAACAACCUCCUUACAGAUCCUGCACGCAUGGAGAUACGUUCACGCAAUCAAAGAUCAGAAACCAUAUAUGGAAUCUCAAGUCAUGUUCCCACCUAUGUCCAUGCUCCAGUAGUUGGUGACACAUUGCCUAGUUCAGAUACCACUAGUAAUUCUGAGAAUACCAUCAUUCACUACACUGAGUCUGGGGAAAAGAUAGAGCUGCUGCAGCUCUAAAAGUGGUCUAGAAAGGAGUUAUCAUUGUUAUUAUGAUGUGUCCAAUGUUACAGUAUACAUAUACAGUUUUACAACCUCCAUUAGGGGUCAGUCGUCCGAAUUCGGUUUGCAGAAAAUAACGAGUUAUUUGUGAAACCCAAGAGCACGCGUAUGGUGCUGACAAACCUAGAAACACAAUCUGUGAGAACCUGGACAAUCAUAGGUAUCUGUUGUGCCCAAGGGACGCAACUCUGCACAGCGAAUCGCGGCGCCUUAGACGACUGGGCCACCCGUACCCCCGUGGGAGUGAUUUGUGUCGAUGAAGUUUUGACGUUUCUGUAUGCAUCUCGAUUCCAUAAAAAAAACAUUGUACGUUACAAAUUCUAGGAACAUGGCUAACUUUAAUGUUGAGAAGAUUACAAAACAGUUUCUUACAAAUGUUUAUAACUGGACAUAUGCAGAUUUCAGUGUGUUCCGAACUUUAUUAAAGCAAAGUAUUUUGUUGAAAUUAGUGGGAGUGAGUACAGCUUGACGUACACAAUGCAGCUACAUGUCGCUGUGUAAAAUAUGUACUUGCAGGAACACGUGGUUGUCUUUCUAUCAUAGUCGGUAUUGUCACUUUGAUUUGUUUCUGCACCAUUUCCAGUGUCAGAGUAGUGAAGUCUCACUCCCAAUACGAAGCCAUGUAACCUGUUGUACAUGCAAUAUAGACUUUAAAGUAUGUUCACGGUGACCUCAUAUUCAGGAAUAUAAUGACUGUUUUAUUUCAAAGCAAUUUAUCCUAUUAAUUUCCAUGAUGUCUUGGCAAACAUGAAAAUGCUAAGAUCAAAUAGAAUACUUUGAGCUGUGUCCCUUAAACAAAUACAGACUUUAUAGUCAUGGGGAAAACCAACCAGUUUUACAUUCUUCCAUGAUAUCUGACAUAUUCGUAUGUGACAUAUUAUGUGAUAGAUCACUGAACGAAUCCCCGUAAGAUAUCGUUUUUAUUACAAACAUUGUAUCUGAAAACGUAUCUAAGGAACGAAAGAUGUUGGAAGCACUAUUCUAAUAACACUAUUGUACUAACAUUCAUGGUGUAAUUUAUAUACUUUUAUCAUCAGAUAACUCUUGUUAGUGCUGCAUUAGUUAAGUGGCCUGUUAUGUAUUGCCCAUAGUUGACCCAUUGUAUAACCCCUUUGUGACUGUAGACCUACAAUUAUGUUUUUCAAUAGAAGUUGUUUUUUAUUCAUUUAUAUUUUGUGCUGAUUUACUGAUUUGGCAAUAUAGUUUGAACCGUUUUCUAAGUUAACCUUCGCGUUUUAAUUCGGAAAUCCCCUCGUAACACUGUGCCAUACAAUUUAAACAUACAGAGGCGAUUAAUUUUAAUUUCUAAAAUGUCACCAGUUUCAUUCAUGUGACAAAUAUAUGAAAAUCCUUAUCCAAUUAUGCAGACGUACAUAUACAGUCGAACCCCGAUGUCUUGAACUCGGAUGUGCCGAUUCCACGAGUCCAGGCGAAAUCACAGUCCAACAUCUUACCAUAUUUAUAGUAUUGUUACCUGAAUGCUGGACAUGGGUGUUUUGAGUUCAAUUUACAGUCCCCAAAGUUAAAAGGUAAAACUUAUCAAGAUCCAGGUCGAAUUCAAAUAGUUCGGAUAAGUCGAACUAUUUCUUUGGUCCCCAGGAGUUCGAGGCAAUUGGGUCCGAUUGUUCCUUUAUGAGUAUAUAUCUGAAUAUGUAUACAGGUAGACAGCCUUCUAGAAUUGUCAUCAUACACCAUUGCAUUUGUAAAUACCUUGCUCUGAAAUAAAGUGGGCUAGACCGCCUCCAUUGUCGUAUGGGUAGAGUAUCAGACAGACUUAUUUCGUAUGUGUGGCCAUGAGGCCAAUAGCACAAUGACAUUUUGUUGUAAAACAAUUCCUCGUGAAGCAACACUUGUAUACUGAUUAGAUUGUAGCUAAAUAUGGUGUACACAGUUUUAUUUAUAUUCAAUGUAUUAUCCUUCUUUCAAAUAUCUUAUAAACACACACAAGUCUGAGAAGAAUAUGGCUAUUUUUGCUGUUCAUUAACUGUACAGAUUUUCUUUGUGAUGGAUUCGUGUAAUAAUAGUCAGGCAGGUAUUUGAUUCUUAUAUCCUCAUAUACUGGACAUAUCAAUAAAACAUGGUAUUCA